UACGUAGGAGGCAAGCGUUGUCCGGAGUUACUGGGCGUAAAGCGUGCGUAGGUGGUGAGUUAAGUCUGAUGUGAAAUCCCCGGGCUCAACCUGGGAAUGGCAUUGGAUACUGGCUCGCUAGAGUACGGUAGAGGGUGGUGGAAUUCCCGGUGUAGCAGUGAAAUGCGUAGAGAUCGGGAGGAACAUCCGUGGCGAAGGCGGCCACCUGGACCAGUACUGACACUGAGGCACGAAAGCGUGGGGAGCAAACAGG
rnacentral:rRNA from 1 species